UGGGGAAUAUUGCACAAUGGGGGAAACCCUGAUGCAGCAACGCCGCGUGAGUGAUGAAGGUCUUCGGAUUGUAAAGCUCUGUCUUUAGGGACGAUAAUGACGGUACCUAAGGAGGAAGCCACGGCUAACUACGUGCCAGCAGCCGCGGUAAUACGUAGGUGGCAAGCGUUAUCCGGAUUUACUGGGCGUAAAGGGAGCGUAGGCGGAUAUUUAAGUGGGAUGUGAAAUACCCGAGCUUAACUUGGGAGCUGCAUUCCAAACUGGAUAUCUAGAGUGCAGGAGAGGAGAAUGGAAUUCCUGGUGUAGUAGUGAAAUGCGUAGAUAUCAGGAAGAACACCGGAGGUGAAGGCGGCUUACUGGACGAUAACUGACGUUGAGGCUCGAAAGCGUGGGGAGCAAACAGGAUUAGAUACCCUGGUAGU
rnacentral:rRNA from 1 species